UAAAUGAAACAGGGGAGCCCUUGGGCUGAGAUAAAGCAGAUGCUUUAACCCUUAGAACCUGAUCUGGAUAAUACCAGCGAAGGGAGUUGUGGGGAGUGAUUA
rfam:Halanaerobium kushneri strain ATCC 700103 genome assembly, contig: Ga0104713_105